GGGCCUGUAGUCUAACGGUAGGACGCCGCUCUCACACAGCGGAGAAAGGAGUUCAAUUCUCCUCAGGCCCA
rnacentral:tRNA from 1 species